AUUGAACGCUGGCGGCAGGCCUAACACAUGCAAGUCGAGCGAGCGGCGGACGGGUGCGUAAUGUCUGGGAAACUGCCUGAUGGAGGGGGAUAACUACUGGAAACGGUAGCUAAUCACGCAUACAAUACGAUGUGCCCAGAUGGGAUUAGCUAGUAGGUGGGGUAACGGCUAACCUAGGCGACGAUCCCUAGCCGGUCUGAGAGGAUGACCAGCCACACUGGAACUGAGACACGGUCCAGACUCCUACGGGAGGCAGCAGUGGGGAAUAUUGCACAAUGGGCGCAAGCCUGAUGCAGCCAUGCCGCGUGUGUGAAGAAGGCCUUCGGGUUGUAAAGCACUUUCAGCGGGGAGGCGUUACCCGCAGAAGAAGCACCGGCUAACUCCGUGCCAGCCGCCGCGGUAAUAC
rnacentral:rRNA from 1 species